GACGAACGCUGGCGGCGUGCUUAACACAUGCAAGUCGAACGGAAAGGCCCUGCUUUUGUGGGGUGCUCGAGUGGCGAACGGGUGAGUAACACGUGAGUAACCUGCCCUUGACUUUGGGAUAACUUCAGGAAACUGGGGCUAAUACCGGAUAGGAGCUCCUGCUGCAUGGUGGGGGUUGGAAAGUUUCGGCGGUUGGGGAUGGACUCGCGGCUUAUUAGCUUGUUGGUGGGGUAGUGGCUUACCAAGGCUUUGACGGGUAGCCUGCCUGAGAGGGUGACCGGCCACAUUGGGACUACGAUACGGCCCAGACUCCUACGGGAGGCAGCAGUGGGGAAUAUUGCACAAUGGGCGGAAGCCUGAUGCAGCAACGCCGCGUGCGGGAUGACGGCCUUCGGGUUGUAAACCGCUGUCGCCUGUGACGAAGCGUGAGUGACGGUAAUGGGUAAAGAAGCACCGGCUAACUACGUG
rnacentral:rRNA from 1 species